UGGGGAAUAUUGCACAAUGGGGGAAACCCUGAUGCAGCGACGCCGCGUGAACGAAGAAGGUAUUCGUAUCGUAAAGUUCUGUCCUAUGGGAAGAUAAUGACAGUACCAUAGAAGAAAGCUCCGGCUAAAUACGUGCCAGCAGCCGCGGUAAUACGUAUGGAGCGAGCGUUGUCCGGAAUUAUUGGGCGUAAAGGGUACGCAGGCGGUUUAAUAAGUCGAAUGUUAAAGAUCGGGGCUCAACCCCGUAAAGCAUUGGAAACUGAUAAACUAGAGUAGUUGAGAGGAAAGUGGAAUUCCUAGUGUAGUGGUGAAAUACGUAGAUAUUAGGAGGAAUACCAGUAGCGAAGGCGACUUUCUGGACACAAACUGACGCUGAGGUACGAAAGCGUGGGGAGCAAACAGG
rnacentral:rRNA from 1 species